rnacentral:rRNA from 1 species
GAUGAACGCUAGCGAUAGGCUUAACACAUGCAAGUCGAGGGGCAGCACGGGAUUAGCUUGCUAAUCUUGGUGGCGACCGGCGUAAGGGUGCGUAACGCGUAUGCAACUUGCCUGUCAGUGGGGGAUAACCCGGAGAAAUCCGGACUAAUACCGCAUACACUUUGGUUUCCGCAUGUGGACUUUAGGAACGAUUUAUUGCUGACAGAUAGGCAUGCGUUCCAUUAGAUAGUUGGUGAGGUAACGGCUCACCAAGUCGACGAUGGAUAGGGGAGCUGAGAGGCGUCACCCCGACACUGGAACUGAGACACGGUCCAGACUCCUACGGGAGGCAGCAGUGAGGAAUAUUGGUCAAUGAGCGAGAGCCUGAACCAGCCAAGUCGCGUGAAGGAAGACGGUCUUAUGGAUUGUAAACUUCUUUAGUAGGUGAGUACAAGCAGUUACGGGUAGCUGUAAGCAAGUAACCUAAGAAUAAGUAUCGGCUAACUCCGUG